rnacentral:rRNA from 1 species
AAUAGAUACCCGGGUAGUCCACGCCGUAAACGGUGGGCACUAGAUGUGGGGCUCUUUCCAUGAGUUCCGCGUCGCAGCUAACGCAUUAAGUGCCCCGCCUGGGGAGUACGGCCGCAAGGCUAAAACUCAAAGGAAUUGACGGGGGCCCGCACAAGCGGCGGAGCAUGCGGAUUAAUUCGAUGCAACGCGAAGAACCUUACCAAGGCUUGACAUAUACGGUCUAUCCCUAGAGAUAGGGAGUGCUUCGGCGCCGUAUACAGGUGGUGCAUGGUUGUCGUCAGCUCGUGUCGUGAGAUGUUGGGUUAAGUCCCGCAACGAGCGCAACCCUCGUCCUAUGUUGCCAGCGGGUAAUGCCGGGGACUCAUGGGAGACUGCCGGGGUCAACUCGGAGGAAGGUGGGGAUGAGGUCAAAUCAUCAUGCCCCUUAUGUCUUGGGCUUCACGCAUGCUACAAUGGCCGGUACAAAGGGCUGCAAUACCGCAAGGUGGAGCGAAUCCCAAAAAGCCGGUCUCAGUUCGGA